AUUGAACGCUGGCGGCAGGCCUAACACAUGCAAGUCGAACGAGUGGCGGACGGGUGAGUAAUGUCUGGGAAACUUCCUGAUGGAGGGGUCUAACUACUGGAAACGGUAUCUAAUACCGCAUACCCUCAGAUUUUCCCAGAUGGGAUUAUCUAGUUGGUGGGGUAACGGCUCACCAAGGCGACGAUCCCUAGCUGGUCUGAGAGGAUGACCAGCAACACUGGAACUGAGACACGGUCCAGACUCCUACGGGAGGCAGCAGUGGGGAAUAUUGCACAAUGGGCGAAAGCCUGAUCCAGCCAUGCCGCGUGUGUGAAGAAGGUCCUCGGAUUGUAAAGCACUUUAAGUUGGGAGGCGUUACCAACAGAAUAAGCACCGGCGAACUUCGUGCCAGCAGCCGCGGUAAUAC
rnacentral:rRNA from 1 species